GCAUCGGCAAAAUCCGGUGCCGGGAUUGGCGUCCCGUGUUACUAGUAGGCGCAUAACACGCGCUUUGCGUGUUUUUU
rnacentral:sRNA from 1 species